rnacentral:rRNA from 1 species
AGCGAACGCUGGCGGCAGGCCUAACACAUGCAAGUCGAACGGACCCUUCGGGGUUAGUGGCGGACGGGUGAGUAACACGUGGGAACGUGCCUUUAGGUUCGGAAUAGCUCCUGGAAACGGGUGGUAAUGCCGAAUGUGCCCUUCGGGGGAAAGAUUUAUCGCCUUUAGAGCGGCCCGCGUCUGAUUGGCUUGUUGGUGGGGUAAUGGCCCACCAAGGCUACGAUCAGUAGCUGGUCUGAGAGGAUGACCAGCCACAUUGGGACUGAGACACGGCCCAAACUCCUACGGGAGGCAGCAGUGGGGAAUCUUGCGCAAUGGGCGAAAGCCUGACGCAGCCAUGCCGCGUGUAUGAUGAAGGUCUUAGGAUUGUAAAAUACUUUCACCGGUGAAGAUAAUGACUGUGGCCGGAGAAGAAGCCCCGGCUAACUUCGUGCCAGCAGCCGCGGUAAUACGAAGGGGGCUAGCGUUGCUCGGAAUUACUGGGCGUAAAGGGAGCGUAGGCGGACAUUU